GGUCUCGUGGCCCAAUGGCAAGGCGUCUGACUACGAAUCAGGAGAUUCUGGGUUCGAUCCCCAGCGAGAUCA